CACCUUGAUCUUAGACUUCUCAGCCUCCAGAACUUUGAGAAAUAAAUUUCUGUUGUUAUCCAUAGCCACCCAGUAAUGACAUUCUGUUAUUACAGCCUUAAUGGACUACGACACGGACUAAAACCUGUGAAGGAAGAGAGUUGGAAACACAAGAAGAAACUGGCCAGCUGUUCUGAAAGUUCUACGGCCUUCCACAGUCAUGCCUGCCUUUCCCGAAAUGGCAGUUGCAAGACAGUUAAAGGUCAAAAAAGAUAGAAAACAUCACAGUUCUCUUCAGCAGAACUUUUGUCAGUGUGAUCGAGAAGUGUCUCAAGUGACAAGUGAGCUGACCAGGGUAAGAAAUAGUUUCCUGUGUCUGUUCUUGGCCUUGUUACUUUCCGGGAAGGGACAGAUUCCAGAGGACCCCCUCAUUGUCCUUGCCCUCAGCCUCAAAAUGUGGAUUGGGAGUUAGAGUUUUUUUUCUAGGAACAGAAAACCUCAUUUCUUUUUCUUUUUCUUUUUUUUCACACGGAGUUUUGCUCUGUCACCCAGGCUGGAGUACAGUAUCACGAUCUCAGCUCACUGCAACCUCCACCUCCCAGGUUCAAGUGAUUCUCCUGCCUCAGCCUCCUGAGUCUCUGGGAUUACAGGCAACCACCACCUUGCUGGGCUGAUUUUUGUAUUUUUAGUAGAGACGGGGUUUUCCCAUGUUGGCCAGACUUGUCUCCAACUCCUGGCCCCAACCAAUCUUCUGGCCUCAGCCUCCCAAAGUGCUGGGAUUACAGGAGUGAGCCACUGCGCCUGGCCAGAAAAACUCAUUUCUUGUCCUGGCUUUGCUACUAACUCGCUUGUAACCUUUAGCUAAUCUUUUAAUUUUCUGGGCCUCGGUUUCUACGUUUUUAAAAUUGGAGAGUUGAAAUGAUUGAUCUCUAAGAUAUUUAGUACUAGUGUUAUAUAAUUUCAGCAUAGAAUUUUUCUCAAGUAUGUUCUAAUACAUGUGUCUCAGAAUUCCCUAAUUUGCACGUCACCUCACUCUACAGUUUUUCCCUUUGUCUAUGCAUUAUAUAGGCUAGACGAUCAUUCGUGGAAUAUUUUU
rnacentral:lncRNA from 1 species